rnacentral:sRNA from 1 species
AAAAAGCAAGAAACAAC